UUUGAGAGAUCAUUCAUUUGUAAAUAUUUGAGAGGAAGUUUCUCAAGUGUGGGGUAUCACUUGAGGGGUUGUUCAAGAGUGGGAUAUCUCUUGAGAAGUGUAAAGGGUGCUUGGAGCCAAAAGUCCAAGAGGGUGAAUUGGAACCAUAAUCCAAUUGUAUUGCUUGAAGGCUUGGUUUAGAAGCCUUGGAUUAGUGGAACCUCAAGC
rnacentral:lncRNA from 1 species